CAAAAACGAGAGAAGUGAAUGGAUUAAACAAUGUGCUUGACUAACAGAAAUUCGAGGAAUAAAAUAAUGGGUUGAUUUUAAGGAUAAUAGUACCAUGUACUAUUCCUACGCAAUAGUCCGGAAUAAGUUCCAGUUGUGUUUCCUUGUGUAUAGAACCCGCGAUUAAGUGUGUGUCAAUAGCAACUUGAGUACGCCCCAGUUGUGGAAAAGCUUCUAUUGCUAUGGCUCCAAUUACCGAACCUCAAAUUUGCCGGAGUAGAACCCGUAUCUGUAUUCAACGAUUGUAUUAAACACACUCUUCGCUAAUGCUAUCAACAUCCAGGAUAUGAACAGGAAUAAAUAGGAAUGUUCAGGUAAAACUCACUUGCACAAUUUAUAAUAAUCAAUACAUUUAUGUCUACAUUUACUUUUUAGUGAAAAUUUGAUUCAUCCACACCGGUGAACCAAAAUGUUCUCUCUGGACGGUGUAGCAUAUAAUU